ensembl:lncRNA
AACAGAAUGGGCUGCCAAGUAGUAGUACCGUGUAAAACUCAGGAUACUGGGAGUAAAAUAAUUUGCACUCUUUCAAGAGAAAGGAAACUGUCCAUUUUCUGUCUCUCGCUUUAGAGGUCGCUUGCUUUAGAACUGUAAAUUAAUUCAUCGUGUUGGAAUUCCAGGUUGUGAGAAUACCUGAAAAACAAAUUUAGAAUGCAGUGAUUGCUGCCUAUCCCUGUAUGUUUUCAUAGUGCUGUUCUCUAUAACGGUUUUACUUUCUGAAUUUUCUCCCAUUAGUAACAAGUGUAAGAAUGCGACCCUCCAGCCACUGUCUCCCUGUGUUCCUCCUCUGACCGGACCCCCGCCCGCCCCCAUCGCCUACUGCGCCUCGUCAUCAUCGCAGUUUCACCUUGGUUGCACACCAGAGCGCAGCAGAGGCACCUUGCAACAAAACGAAAGAUAACAGACAGCAUAAAUACCUGAAACUUCCCCUUUCCUACUUCAGGAAUAGCCAGUGGAGCAAAUAAGGCUAAAGUUCAAGAACCGCUGGACUAAAGCAGCAAUUGACAGAUGAGGGGAUUGAAGCUGUGGCUAAGUUGAACCUACCUGGUUAAGUGAUCUAUCUAAGGCCUCUCAUACCAGAAGUGCUUCUGGGGAAGAGGAAAGUACAUCACUAAGAAGAAAAAUGUCUCUCGUGUGCUAUUCUGGGGGAGCCCCAAGGACUUUAAGAAAUGCAAGAAUUGUGCUGCAGGCCCAAACUUAGAAACUGAAGGAAAGUGUAUACCAUAUUCCAAUUAUACUGCUUCAUGGCCUUGCAUAGCUGCUUUGAAGGACGGAUCUUUAAAGAUUUAUAAACUUGGGUGGGUGGAUGGGUAGGGGAAAGGACACCCACGCUUUCUUCCUGCUUCAAGCAUCCCAGCUCUCACUCUCUUUUUUCUCUAGUUUUGCAGCUCAAAAGCCCUGGAACAACUGCAGCUGGGUGAGUGUAAUAAACAGGUACCUGAGAAAAGGGGUCAAGUUCAAUAUGAUGUUUGCUGC